rnacentral:rRNA from 1 species
UACGGAGGGAGCUAGCGUUGUUCGGAAUUACUGGGCGUAAAGCGCACGUAGGCGGCUUUGUAAGUUAGAGGUGAAAGCCUGGGGCUCAACUCCAGAACUGCCUUUAAAACUGCAUCGCUUGAAUCCAGGAGAGGUGAGUGGAAUUCCGAGUGUAGAGGUGAAAUUCGUAGAUAUUCGCAAGAACACCAGUGGCGAAGGCGGCUCACUGGCCCGUAACUGACGCUGAGGCACGAAAGCGUGGGGAGCAAACAGG